rnacentral:lncRNA from 1 species
AAAUUAGUUGCAAUUAAGUCUUAUAACCCAAUUUAAUUGACUAAAUAUUGAUAUAUUGCUAAUCUAUAAGUGAUGCGGCAGUGUUGCGAUUGAUGAUGCGCCAAUAAUUAAGACGCUUGUGUCAAUAUUUAGUCAACUAAAUUGGGUUGGGGGACUUGAUUGUAACAUUUCUGAAAGUUUGAACUGUAAAUUACAACAAAUUAAAGUUUGAGGACCAAGCGUCCAAUUUUUACCCUUCUAAGAAUCUUUCUUGUGUCAGUUCCCCUCAAUUUCAUCAACAACUAAUAUCUUUCUAUCAUGAAUUCCGCGAACGCAUGAUCACAAAACAACAAUCAAACCCUAUCCUAUCGUCAAAAAGAUCGAUCUAAUAGAAAAUAGAAAGCAGUUCAAUUCAUUUCGUUUAUUACGACCUGAUGAUCUGAUACCAUGUUAAUCAAAAGAUUGAAAAGACAGAAAAAGAAAUAAUGAUCUUAAAAAUUACUUUGGCCCCCAUAUGCUGUUAUUGGAAGGAGCAUCAGGAGGAGGAGGAGGAGGAGGAACAGAGCCAUCCAAUUCACGGUUCCGCCAUCGCGAAUUUGGAUUUGGGACCGUCAGAUCGAGGCUGGGAGGGGAGGGGGUAUGAUGGCAGUCUGCCUUCUCCUUCUUCUCCUUCUUUUUCUUCUUCUUCUUCAGUCUGGAGAGGAGAGCUGACGUCCCCGUUCUUGUCUGCUUGUUGGAGGUGUUUGUAAU